rnacentral:rRNA from 1 species
UACAGAGGGGGCAAGCGUUGUUCGGAAUUACUGGGCGUAAAGGGCGCGUAGGCGGCCCGCUAAGUCGAACGUGAAAUCCCCGAGCUCAACUCGGGAACUGCGUCCGAUACUGGCGGGCUUGAAUCCGGGAGAGGGAUGCGGAAUUCCAGGUGUAGCGGUGAAAUGCGUAGAUAUCUGGAGGAACACCGGUGGCGAAGGCGGCCCCCUGGACCGGUACUGACGCUGAGGCGCGAAAGCGUGGGUAGCAAACGGG